CACCGCGGUUAUACGAGUAACACAUAUUAAUACUCCACGGCGUAAAGGGUGAUUAAAAACAAUCUAACUCACACUAAAGUUAAAACCUCAUCAAGCUGUCAUACGCACCCAUGAGUAAAAAACACAACAACGAAAGUGACUUUAUCACAAAAAGAACUUUUGACCUCACGACAGUUAAGACC
rnacentral:rRNA from 2 species